rnacentral:rRNA from 1 species
UUCCGGUUGAUCCUGCCGGACCCGACUGCUAUCAGAGUGAGAUUAAGCCAUGCGAGUCAACGUAGCAAUACGUGGCACACGGCUCAGUAACACGUAGUCAACAUAACCAAAGGACGUGGAUAAACUCGGGAAACUGAGGCUAAACCGCGAUAGACCAAGAUACCUGGAAUGGUUUUUGAUUAAAAUCUAUAUGGCCUUUGGAUUGGACUGCGACCGAUCAGGCUGUUGGUGAGGUAAUGGCCCACCAAACCUGUAACCGGUACGGGCUCUGAGAGGAGGAGCCCGGAGAUGGGUACUGAGACAAGGACCCAGGCCCUAUGGGGCGCGGCAGGCGCGAAACCUCUGCAAUAGGCGAAAGCCUGACAGGGUUAUUCUGAGUGACUUUCGCUAAGAAAGUCUUUUGACACCUCUAAAAAUGGUGUAGAAUAAGGGGUGGGCAAGUCUGGUGUCAGCCGCCGCGGUAAUAC